rnacentral:rRNA from 1 species
CAGCAGCCGCGGGAAUACGUAGGGUGCGAGUGUUAAUCGGAAUUACUGGGCGUAAAGCGUGCGCAGGCGGUUUUGUAAGACAGGCGUGAAAUCCCCGGGCUCAACCUGGGAAUGGCGCUUGUGACUGCAAAGCUAGAGUGCGGCAGAGGGGGAUGGAAUUCCGCGUGUAGCAGUGAAAUGCGUAGAUAUGCGGAGGAACACCGAUGGCGAAGGCAUCCCCUGGGCCUGCACUGACGCUCAUGCACGAAAGCGUGGGGAGCAAACAGGAUUAGAUACCCCGGUAGUCCCUGUCUCUUAUACA